rnacentral:tRNA from 1 species
GCGCACAUGGCUUAGUGGUAAAGUCGGCUGUCUUGUAAACAGGAUAUCCUGGGUUCGAUCCCCAGUGGUGCC